rnacentral:rRNA from 1 species
GCUGGCGCUGCUUUAACCUGCAGUCGAACGCAGGUCCAUCCGAUCUUCGGAUUGGUGAAGACCUCAGUGGCGAACGGGGUGCGUAACACGGUGGAGAAACCUGCCCCGGUCUCUGGGAUAACAGUUGGAAACGACUGCUAAUACCGGAUGCCGUCGGACCGUCGCAUGGCGGACCGACGAAAGGGUUACCGGAUCGGGAGGUCUCGCGGCCUAUCAGCUUGUUGGUGAGGUAACGGCUCACCAAGGCAUCGACGGGUAGCUGGUCUGAGAGGAGGAUCAGCCACACUGGGACUGAGACACGGCCCAGACUCCUACGGGAGGCAGCAGUGGGGAAUAUUGCACAAUGGGCGAAAGCCUGAUGCAGCAACGCCGCGUGCGGGAUGAAGGCCCUAGGGUUGUAAACCGCUUUCAGCAGGGAAGAAAAUGACGGUACCUGUAGAAGAAGGUGCGGCCAACUACGUGCCAGCAGCCGCGGUGACACGUAGGCACCAAGCG